rnacentral:rRNA from 1 species
GACGAACGCUGGCGGCGCGCCUAACACAUGCAAGUCGAACGAGCGAGAGAGAGCUUGCUUUCUCGAGCGAGUGGCGAACGGGUGAGUAACGCGUGAGGAACCUGCCUCAAAGAGGGGGACAACAGUUGGAAACGACUGCUAAUACCGCAUAAGCCCACGACCCGGCAUCGGGUAGAGGGAAAAGGAGCAAUCCGCUUUGAGAUGGCCUCGCGUCCGAUUAGCUAGUUGGUGAGGUAACGGCCCACCAAGGCGACGAUCGGUAGCCGGACUGAGGGGUUGAACGGCCACAUUGGGACUGAGACACGGCCCAGACUCCUACGGGAGGCAGCAGUGGGGAAUAUUGCACAAUGGGGGAAACCCUGAUGCAGCGACGCCGCGUGGAGGAAGAAGGUCUUCGGAUUGUAAACUCCUGUUGUUGAGGAAGAUAAUGACGGUACUCAACAAGGAAGUGACGGCUAACUACGUG